UGGAAAAUUCCAAAGUCAGUUUCUCUGCUUCACUGAAAUGGUCAAGCUGACCUCUUAUCUCGUUACCUGGGUAACUGGAGCUAGUCAGCUAGCUAAAGUCAUAGCAUUCCAGUGGUUCCCAGAAGAAGGAGGGAGAAGUAAGGAAGACCAGGGAGAGAAGGAGAAAGGAGGGGUAAGAGAGAGACGCAGCAUGUGAAUGGGGAAAGAUGGACGACAUCAGAAAAGACACCGGAGAGUCUUUACUUUGAAAUGGACAUUAUAACAGGACUUUUCCUAUCGGGCUAUUGGAUUUUUGGAUUUUCCAGAAGUUUGCUUUCUCCACAGGCUGUGAUAGAACCAGUGACCACAGACAUGUUGGAACAGAAAUCAAAGGAGUGUGAUUUGUCCACAGUGUUACAUCUUAAUGCUGAUUUCCUGAAGAAACUUUGACUACAAUAGACAUGAAAAUGUGUUCAAAAGAUGAUGGAUAAAUUACUGUGUUGUACUAUAGCAUGCCUGGCAGAAGAUGAGUUUUUUAAAAUCUCCUAUUUGUCUUUUAGUUAUACAGAUUUAAUGUAAUUAUGAUUUAUAAAACUAUCUUUUGCCCUCCUUAA